AUCCAGUUGACGAGUCUCAAAUAGGACGAAACAUGCGUCCUAGAU
rfam:Schistosoma curassoni strain Dakar, Senegal genome assembly, scaffold: SCTD_contig0000309